CUUUAUUGGAGAGUUUGAUCCUGGCUCAGGACGAACGCUGGCGGCAUGCCUAAUACAUGCAAGUCGAGCGGAGUUGAUAGGAAGCUUGCUUCCUUGAUACUUAGCGGCGGACGGGUGAGUAACACGUAGGCAACCUGCCCUCAAGUUUGGGACAACUACCGGAAACGGUAGCUAAUACCGAAUAAUUGUUUUCUUCGCCUGAAGGAAACUGGAAAGACGGAGCAAUCUGUCACUUGGGGAUGGGCCUGCGGCGCAUUAGCU
rnacentral:rRNA from 1 species